rnacentral:rRNA from 1 species
UACGUAGGGUGCAAGCGUUGUCCGGAAUUAUUGGGCGUAAAGAGCUCGUAGGUGGCGGGUCACGUCGGGUGUGAAAGCCCGGGGCUUAACCCCGGGUCUGCAUUCGAUACGGGUCUGCUGGGGUCCGGCAGGGGAGACUGGGAAUUCCUGGUGUAGCGGUGAAAUGCGCAGAUAUCAGGAGGAACACCGGUGGCGAAGGCGGGUCUCUGGGCCGGUACCGACGCUGGAGGAGCGAAAGCGUGGGGAGCAAACAGG